CUCUGACGUUAGCGGCGGACGGGUGAGUAACACGUGGAUAACCUACCUAUAAGACUGGGAUAACUUCGGAAAACCGGAGCUAAUACCGGAUAAUAUAUUGAACCGCAUGGUUCAAUAGUGAAAGACGGUUCUGCUGCCACUUAUAGAUGGAUCCGCGCCGCAUUAGCUAGUUGGUAAGGUAACGGCUUACCAAGGCAACGAUGCGUAGCCGACCUGAGAGGGUGAUCGGCCACACUGGAACUGAGACACGGUCCAGACUCCUACGGGAGGCAGCAGUAGGGAAUCUUCCGCAAUGGGCGAAAGCCUGACGGAGCAACGCCGCGUGAGUGAUGAAGGUCUUCGGAUCGUAAAACUCUGUUAUUAGGGAAGAACAAAUGUGUAAGUAACUAUGCACGUCUUGACGGUACCUAAUCAGAAAGCCACGGCUAACUACGUGCCAGCAGCCGCGGUAAUACGUAGGUGGCAAGCGUUAUCCGGAAUUAUUGGGCGUAAAGCGCGCGUAGGCGGUUUUUUAAGUCUGAUGUGAAAGCCCACGGCUCAACCGUGGAGGGUCAUUGGAAACUGGUAAACUUGAGUGCAGAAGAGGAAAGUGGAAUUCCAUGUGUAGCGGUGAAAUGCGCAGAGAUAUGGAGGAACACCAGUGGCG
rnacentral:rRNA from 1 species